rnacentral:rRNA from 1 species
GAUGAACGCUGGCGGCGUGCCUAAUACAUGCAAGUCGAGCGAAGCGGGGACGGGUGAGUAACACGUGGAUAACCUCCUAUAAGACUGGGAUAACUUCGGGAAACCGGAGCUAAACCGGAUAAUUAUAGAUGGAUCCGCGCUGCAUUAGCUAGUUGGUAAGGUAACGGCUUACCAAGGCAACGAUGCAUAGCCGACCUGGGAGGGGGAUCGACCGCACUGGAACUGGGAAACGGUCCAGACGCCUACAGGGGGCAGCAGUAGGGAAUCUUCCGCAAUGAGCGAAAGCCUGACGGAGCAACGCCGCGUAAGUGAUGAAGGUCUUCGGAUCGUAAAACACUGUUAUUAGGGAAGCGGUACCUAAUCAGAAAGCCACGGCUAACUACGUGCCAGCAGCCGCGGUAAUAC